CACCGGCGGACGGCUCAGUAACACGUCGGUAACCUACCCUCGGGAGGGGGAUAACCCCGGGAAACUGGGGCUAAUCCCCCAUAGGCCUGAGGUACUGGAAGGUCCUCAGACCGAAAGGGGCUUUGCCCGCCCGAGGAUGGGCCGGCGGCCGAUUAGGUAGUUGGUGGGGUAACGGCCCACCAAGCCGAAGAUCGGUACGGGCCAUGAGAGUGGGAGCCCGGAGAUGGACACUGAGACACGGGUCCAGGCCCUACGGGGCGCAGCAGGCGCGAAACCUCCGCAAUGCUCGAAAGAGCGACGGGGGGACCCCCAGUGCCGUGGCAUCGCCACGGCUUUUCCGGAGUGUAAAGAGCUCCGGGAAUAAGGGCUGGGCAAGGCCGGUGGCAGCCGCCGCGGUAAUACCGGCGGCCCGAGUGGUGGCCGCUAUUAUUGGGCCUAAAGCGUCCGUAGCCGGGCCAGUAAGUCCCUGGCGAAAUCCCACGGCUCAACCGUGGGGCUUGCUGGGGAUACUGCUGGCCUUGGGACCGGGAGAGGCGGAGGGUACUCCUGGGGUAGGGGUGAAAUCCUAUAAUCCCAG
rnacentral:rRNA from 1 species